GAUGAACGCUGGCGGCGUGCUUAACACAUGCAAGUCGAACGGAAAGGCCCAAGCUUGCUUGGGUACUCGAGUGGCGAACGGGUGAGUAACACGUGGGUGAUCUGCCCUGCACUUCGGGAUAAGCCUGGGAAACUGGGUCUAAUACCGGAUAGGACCACGGCUUGGAUGCCAUUGUGGAAAGUUUUUGCGGUGUGGGGUGAGCGCGCGGCCUAUCAGCUUGUUGGUGGGGUAAUGGCCUACCAAGGCGUCGACGGGUAGCCGGCGUGAGAGGGUGUAGGGCGACAUUGUGGGUGAGAUACGGCGCAGACACCUCCGGGGGGGAGAAGUGGGGAGUAUUGCACAAUGGGGGCGGGACUGAGGCAGAGACGCCGCGUGGGGGAUGAGAGCGUUCGCGUUGUAAACUCCUCUCGCUCGAGACGAGGAGUUUUUGUGACGGUACCUGGAGAAGAAGCACCGGCUAACUACGUG
rnacentral:rRNA from 1 species